CGCGAUUCGCCCUUUUCCGGUUGAUCCUGCCGGACCUGACUGCUAUCGGAUUGAUACUAAGCCAUGCGAGUCAUUGUAGCAAUACAAGGCAGACGGCUCAGUAACGCGUAGUCAAUCUACCCUAUGGACGGGGAUAACCUCGGGAAACUGAGAAUAAUACCCGACAGAACAUUAUGCCUGGAAUGGCUUAUGUUUUAAAUGAUUUAUCGCCGUAGGAUGGGACUGCGGCCUAUCAGUUUGUUGGUGAGGUAAUGGCCCACCAAGACUAUUACAGGUACGGGCUCUGAGAGGAGUGGCCCGGAGAUGGGUACUGAGACACGGACCCAGGCCCUAUGGGGCGCAGCAGGCGAGAAAACUUUGCAAUGUGCGAAAGCACAACAAGGUUAAUCCGAGUGGUUUCUGCUAAAGAAACCUUUUGUUAGUCCUASAAACACUGCCGAAUAACGGGUGGGCAAGUGCUSUGGUGUCAGCCGCCGCGGUAAAACCAGCACCUCAAGUGGUCAGGAUGAUUAUUGGGCCUAAAGCAUCCGUAUCUUGCUUUGUAAGUUCUCGGUUAAAUCCAUGCGCUUAACGUAUGGGCUGCGGGUAAAACUCCAAAACUUAUGGGGUGGGAGAGGUAGACGGUACUCGGUAGGAAGGGGUAAAAUCCUUUGAUCUAUUGAUGACCACCUGUGGCGAAGGCGGUUUACCAGAACACGUCCGACGGUGAGGGAUGAAAGCUGGGGGAGCAAACCGGAUUAGAUGCCCGGGUAGUCCCAGCUGUAAACUAUGCAAACUCAGUGAUGCAUUGGCUUGUGGCCAAUGCAGUGCUGCAGGGAAGCCGUUAAGUUUGCCGCCUGGGAAGUACGUACGCAAGUAUGAAACUUAAAGGAAUUGGCGGGAAGGGCGAAUUC
rnacentral:rRNA from 1 species